GGCCCUGUGGUGAAGUUCAUGUUGAGUUGCAAGCUCAUUGAUGCACAUUGAGAUUGUGCCAGGGUCU
rnacentral:tRNA from 2 species